rnacentral:rRNA from 1 species
CCUACGGGAGGCAGCAGUAGGGAAUUUUCGUCAAUGGGCGCAAGCCUGAACGAGCGAUGCCGCGUGAGUGAAGAAGGCCUUCGGGUCGUAAAGCUCUGUUGCGGGGGAAAAAAGGCAGCAUCAGGAAAUGGGUGCUGACUGAUGGUGCCCCGCCAGAAAGUCACGGCUACCUACGUGCCCGCAGCCGCGGUCAUACGUAGGGGGCGAGCGUUAUCCGGAAGGAUUGGGCGUAAAGGGUGCGCAGGCGGUCCUGCAAGUCUGGAGUGAAACGAAUGAGCUCAACUCAUGCACGGCUUUGGAAACUGGAGGACUGGAGAGCAGGAGAGGGCGGUGGAACUCCAUGUGUAGCGGUAAAAUGCGUAGAUAUAUGGAAGAACCCCAGUGGCGAAGGCGGCCGCCUGGCCUGUUGCUGACGCUGAGGCACGAAAGCGUGGGGAGCAAAUAGGAUUAGAUACCCGGGUAGUC